rnacentral:rRNA from 1 species
CUUCGGUGGGGAUUAGUGGCGAACGGGUGAGUAACACGUGGGCAAUCUGCCCUUCACUCUGGGACAAGCCCUGGAAACGGGGUCUAAUACCGGAUAUCACUCCCGCAGGCAUCUGUGGGGGUCGAAAGCUCCGGCGGUGAAGGAUGAGCCCGCGGCCUAUCAGCUUGUUGGUGAGGUAAUGGCUCACCAAGGCGACGACGGGUAGCCGGCCUGAGAGGGCGACCGGCCACACUGGGACUGAGACACGGCCCAGACUCCUACGGGAGGCAGCAGUGGGGAAUAUUGCACAAUGGGCGAAAGCCUGAUGCAGCGACGCCGCGUGAGGGAUGACGGCCUUCGGGUUGUAAACCUCUUUCAGCAGGGAAGAAGCGAAAGUGACGGUACCUGCAGAAGAAGCGCCGGCUAACUACGUGCCAGCAGCCGCGGUAAUACGUAGGGCGCAAGCGUUGUCCGGAAUUAUUGGGCGUAAAGAGCUCGUAGGCGGCUUGUCACGUCGGGUGUGAAAGCCCGGGGCUUAACCCCGGGUCUGCAUUCGAUACGGGCUAGCUAGAGUGUGGUAGGGGAGAUCGGAAUUCCUGGUGUAGCGGUGAAAUGCGCAGAUAUCAGGAGGAACACCGGUGGCGAAGGCGGAUCUCUGGGCCAUUACUGACGCUGAGGAGCGAAAGCGUGGGGAGCGAACAGGAUUAGAUACCCUGGUAGUCCACGCCGUAAACGGUGGGAACUAGGUGUUGGCGACA